AACUUGGGUCUCCUACCUGUAGCUCACAACCUGCCAGUUUUAGGUUGUAACUCCUUCGACGCCGAAAAAAAAAAUUGCUUCACUUCUGUGCCGAUCGCAAACGGCGAUCCCCUCUGGCUGAUACUGUCGUGAACUGGCUUGUUGUGAAGUGUUUGCGAUUCCAAAGAUGUGAAGGACCUCAGACAGGCUGCAGUCUCUGCUGACACUCGUAAGCUCAGCGGCCACUUCCCUCUGAGAAGAUCCUGUUUGCAGCCUCAAUCACACUGAUGUUUGAUAUACGACAUCAUAAAUGGCAAUGGCCCAAGAGAUCGCCAAGGUGUCAACUUAGGACUGGUCCAAAGCCAGGUAAGAAGAGAGUGUGUGUGUGUGUGUGUGUGUGUGUGUGUGUGUGUGUGUGUGUGUGUGUGUGUGUGUGUGUGUGUGUGUGUGUGUGUGU